GCUUAACAUGCAAGUCGAACGGGGACAGAGCACAGGUUUACCUUUGCUCUAUCCUAGUGGCGGACGGGUGAGUAACACGUGAGCAACCUACCUAACAUACUGGGAUAACAGCGGGAAACCGUUGCUAAUACCGGAUACUCCAUUUUUAACGCAUGUUAAAAGUGGGAAAGGGUUUACCGAUGUCAGAUGGGCUCGCGACUCAUUAGCUAGUUGGUGGGGUAAUGGCCUACCAAGGCUGCGAUGGGUAGCUGGUCUGAGAGGACGAUCAGUCACACUGGAACUGAGACACGGUCCAGACUCCUACGGGAGGCAGCAGUGGGGAAUAUUGCACAAUGGGCGCAAGCCUGAUGCAGCGACGCCGCGUGGAGGAUGAAGGCUUUCGGGUCGUAAACUCCUGUCUGGGGGGAUGAAUAAUGACAGUACCCCCGGAGGAAGCCCCGGCUAACUACGUGCCAGCAGCCGCGGUAAUACGUAGGGGGCGAGCGUUGUCCGGAAUUACUGGGCGUAAAGCGCGCGCAGGUGGCUUGUUAAGUCAGGUGUCAAAAUGCGGGGCUCAACCCCGUAUCGCACUUGAAACUGGCAGGCUUGAGUGCAGGAGAGGAAAGUGGAAUUCCUAGUGUAGCGGUGAAAUGCGUAGAUAUUAGGAGGAACACCAGUGGCGAAGGCGACUUUCUGGACUGCAACUGACACUGAGGCGCGAAAGCUAGGGGAGCAAACAGGAUUAGAUACCCUGGUAGU
rnacentral:rRNA from 1 species